UAAGAUACUAUCUAACUUGUGUUGUAUUGUAUUUUGUGGGUAAAACAUGAUAUUUGAUGAAGAAUUUGAGAAAAUAAUGCAAAAAUAGUGAAAAUGGGCCAAAAUCCAAAAGUCAAGGACUAAACUGCAAAUAAUUCAUAUGUGAGACGGGCAACAAAAUGAAGAUUGAAGAUACAAAAAUUUAAUUGGAUACAAUUGGAAGAUACACGAACAAGAUUACUGGUAAAAGGGUUGAAAUGAAGCAAACUCAAAGUUCAGGGACUAAAGUGCAAAUAUUAGAAAUUUGUGUCGAACCUCACAAUAAAGAUUUGAGAGUGUUAUGGGUCAAUUGGAUGAGAAAAUAAGUCAGGA
rnacentral:lncRNA from 1 species